AUUGGGGUUAAAAAUAUUUUAAAAUGAUUAAAAUAAAAAUGCAAAAACAAAAAUAAAUGAAAAAUAAAAGAAAAUAUGCAUUUAAUGCAAAAACGAUUUUUAAAAAUUGAAAAAAAUAGCAUGAGGUAGAAAAUAUUUGUAUGGAAUUAUGGAAAUGUUUUGAAUAGAAAACUAAUAAGGGAACUAUUUUUAAUUAAUUUUGGAAGAAAAUGAAAUUAAAUGAAAUAAAAAGAAAA
rnacentral:lncRNA from 1 species